UCGUGUUACAUCCUCGUUGCUAUGAUAAGUAUCGAAGGUAGUCCUCCCCGUCGAAGCUUCACAGUCUUCGAGUGGGUCUCUAGUUUCCUUGAACUUCCCAUUGUUGAUCUGCGACUCUGGACUGUAGUAGGACUUCGUACGGAGGACAUGGACAACGCUUCGCGCUUUUAUCUUCUUGAUGAAAGGAAAUACCCUGGGAGCUGUGUCCACUCCUAAAAAAUCGCCAAGACCAUCAGCAGUAUGAAGAACCAUCAGACACCACCCUCCAAUUCAGCACAAGCCAGACGCCUCUUUUUACCAGCCUUCAACUGUUCAGACCACAGAAACCUACGAUAAUAUUUUGAAAACACCUGUUUUACUUAUGUUCUACUUUUUAAAUUUGUAAACAUCAUGCAUGCCUCCAUUUGGAUCAUGUAUAUUCUUAAAUUUACGAUCUUAUCCCUUUUUUGAUCUUAUUUGUGUCUGAAACUCUGACUAUACAGUAGUAUACGUCGUGCUAACACAGUUAUCCCUUCGAUUAAAAAACAAAUUUCAUAAAAUUAUUGUACUACAAAAAGAUAGUUUUUUUGUUGUAUGAAUAUAUGUUAUUGUAAUUUUUCUAUUGUGCUGUUGAGUAAAUGUCUUUUUUUUUCCCCCUCGAUUUAAUGUUCUAAGUUUCAAUCUUAGUUCGAAUAUAUCUUUACUGAUGUACUUUGGAAAGAUGUUUACUGGGUGCAGUUUCCUUGCAUGUUGUGUGUGUGGUGGAAAGGAAGGAAGGAGAAACGUAAAGUUUCUGGAGUUGCAUACAAAUGAAAUGUAUUUCACUGAGUGAACAUUGUAAUUUAUGGUAGCAAGGCAUCUAGGACUAUUAAAUAUGAAAAUUACAUAUGA